rnacentral:rRNA from 1 species
GAAAUAACAGUACAAGGCAGUUAAAAUGCUUUGUAAUUGGAAUGAUAGAAAUUUAAAUACUUUUUAAAGUAUCAAUUGGAGGGCAAGUCUGGUGCCAGCAGCCGCGGUAAUUCCAGCUCCAAUAGCGUAUAUUAAAAUUGUUGCAGUUAAAAAGCUCGUAGUUGAAUUUUUGCUAAAAAUAACCGGUCUGCUUUUCUUGAUGGAAGUGGUAUCUUGGUGUGUUUUUAGCAAUAAUGUCCUUUGAAAUGUUUUUUACUUUAAUGUAAAAAGCAAUUAUCAGGAU